rfam:Schistocephalus solidus strain NST_G2 genome assembly, scaffold: SSLN_scaffold0017874
GGCCUCUUAGCUCAGUUGGCUAGAGCUUUGGCUGUAGUAAAGCCUUCUCGUUGCUGGCGUGGGUUUGAAUCCCACCGAAGCUG